CCAAUAGCGUAUAUUAAAGUUGUUGCAGUUAAAAAGCUCGUAGUUGAAUUUCGGGAUCAGUUGGUCGGUCGUGCCUCGGUACGUACUGGUCAAAUUGAUUCCUACCUUCUGACGAACCACGAUGUCAUUAAUUUGGUGUCGCGGGAAAUCAGGACUGUUACUUUGAAAAAAUUAGAGUGUUUAAAGCAAGCUCGCGCUUG
rnacentral:rRNA from 1 species